GUGAAGAUACGGAGAUUAUAUGAAACUGUUCCAGAACCUUGGGCCUCAGUCAUAAAUGAGAUUGUCUGACGAUGAUCUUUCAUAUGAGGACGUUACAGAUUUACUUCAAGAAAGUUAUAAAACUAGCCGCGAUUUACAGCGAAACAUUAAGAAGACUAUAACCUUAUCCAUGAAUACUAGUUUACGAGCUACCAAUUCUAGGCUAGAUAAGGGACCGUUGGCUAAGUGCUUUUCGAGAGUUCUAGAUGAAAGUUUUCCCAUACCAUUACCAGAUAAUUCGGAGCAAAGCAUGUUAGAGGAAGGCCCAGAGGAAGACCCAGAUGAAGAC
rnacentral:lncRNA from 1 species